AUUGAACGCUGGCGGCAGGCCUAACACAUGCAAGUCGAGCGAGCGGCGGACGGGUGAGUAAUGUAUGGGGACUGCCCGAUAGAGGGGGAUAACUACUGGAAACGGUAGCUAAUACCGCAUACUAUCGGAUAACCCAUAUGGGCUUAGCUAGUAGGUGUGGUAAUGGCUCACCUAGGCGACGAUCCCUAGCUGGUCUGAGAGGAUGAUCAGCGACACGGGGACUGGGACACGGGACAGAGUCCAAGGGAGGCAGCAGUGGGGAAUAUUGCACAAGGGGCGCAGCCUGAUGCAGCCAUGCCGCGUGUAUGAAGAAGGCCCUAGGGUUGUAAGGUACUUUCAGUCGGGAGGCGUUACCGACAGAAGAAGCACCGGCUAACUCCGUGCCAGCAGCCGCGGUAAUAC
rnacentral:rRNA from 1 species